rnacentral:sRNA from 1 species
GAAUAAGCUAUUAAGGUGCCUAGGACACUAGUAGACACCCAGAAGGAGUUGUAAGGGAGAACGGAAAUUUAAGAUCGGACGAUUUUCAACAGACAAGAUCAGAUCGUAGAAUAGAGAAGGAUUUGCUGCCGCUACUGAAUCAGAGUCCACGGUGCAACAAUUUCUCAUCUGCUCACGAAUUGGAUUCGAACCAAUCAAGCUACUUGCCCUUUAGUAGAUCGUGAGUGGGUCAGUCGUCCUCCUCAUUAUAGUCCUCCUAAAAUCAAUAGCAUUUCGUCGGAAUACAUCCUGUCUUUUCACCUUAGUAGUCCUAUGCAUAGUCAGUACUAUAGCCCCAAUCAUGGCUACUAAUAAAAUAAGACUAGGAACCAAAAACCAGACAGAAUAGUAGGUAUAAAGUAAAUUGCCCAAUGUUUCCAAAUUAGUCCAACUUCGUACCUUUCCGGCAUAAACCGUAUAUCUAAGAGAGGUCGUAUUUCUUUGGGUUGGUAGUAAUGGAAUGCUUUCAUUAUCUA